CAAAUACUCACCUCUGUCCACAGGAACCAGCAGCAGAUCAAACAUCCUCUUAGACACAUGGUCUGCAUCUGAAAUCGCAUAACCUCUGAGCAGGCGAGGUACAGCAGAGGUUGUUUUGGGACACGCUGCUGAAUGCUAAACAGUCUAAAUCCUGUUUCAGCUGCAGUGACACAUUCAAACGUCGAACUCAUGAUAUAAAACGGGAAAUAAACACGGGCACGGCUCCAGGAGAGCGACCUGAAGGCUCGGGGUGCAUGACAUCUCGUCUGGCGUGUGUCCAGAUGUCUUCAGGGAGUCGCUGAGGAAGAGGAGGAGAGGAAGAGGCAGGAUACCUCUUUCUUUCUCAGACUCAUGGAUGUUUGACAAGACCCCAAACAUUUGAUUUGGUUUAAUUGACCUCCACCAGAACCGUAAAGAGAUACAUCAUGCUGAAGAGUUCCUCUACAAACACCAAGUGUGUGUGUGUGUGUGUGUGUGUGUGUGUGUGUGUGUGAGAGAGAGAGAGCAUUUGAACAGAAGGAUAUUGAUUAUAUUCCAGUCCUCUAGGGCACAAACGCACUGGCGUAUAGCGAGAAGAAUGACACCACUUAUUCCCCAUACAUUCCUCUUUUUUUCCUUCCUCACACACAUAUUUCUUUCCCUGGAGAGAAGCCAUCACUCAUUACUGUCCCACCAGC